rnacentral:rRNA from 1 species
AGCAGCCGCGGUAAUUCCAGCUCCAAUAGCGUAUAUUAAAGUUGUUGCAGUUAAAAAGCUCGUAGUUGAAUUUUAGGCCUGGCCGGGCGGUCCGUCUUUGGCGAGUACUGUCUGUUGUCGGGUCUCCCUUCUGGUGAACCAAUAUGUCCUUUAUUGGGUGUGCUGGGGAGCCAGGACCAUUACCUUGAAAAAAUUAGAGUGUUUAAAGCAGGCUUUUGCUUGAAUAGAUUAGCAUGGAAUAAUAGAAUAGGACGUUGUGGUUCUAUUUUGUUGGUUUCUAGGACCACCGUAAUGAUUAAUAGGGAUAGUUGGGGGCAUUAGUAUUCAAUUGUCAGAGGUGAAAUUCUUGGAUUUAUUGAAGACUAACUAUUGCGAAAGCAUUUGCCAAGGAUGUUUUCAUUAAUCAAGAACGAAAGUUAGGGGGAUCGAAGACGAUCAGAUACCGUCGUAGUCUUAACCAUAAACUAUGCCGACUGGAAUCGGGCGACGUUAUUUUAAUGUACUCGCUCGGCGCCUUAUG